rnacentral:rRNA from 1 species
AACGAACGCUGGCGGCAUGCCUAACACAUGCAAGUCGAACGAGACCUUCGGGUCUAGUGGCGCACGGGUGCGUAACGCGUGGGAACCUGCCCUUAGGUUCGGAAUAACUCCCCGAAAGGGGUGCUAAUACCGGAUAAUGUCUUCGGACCAAAGAUUUAUCGCCUUUGGAUGGGCCCGCGUUGGAUUAGCUAGUUGGUAGGGUAAAAGCCUACCAAGGCGACGAUCCAUAGCUGGUGAGAGAGGAUGAUCAGCCACACUGGGACUGAGACACGGCCCAGACUCCUACGGGAGGCAGCAGUGGGGAAUAUUGGACAAUGGGCGAAAGCCUGAUCCAGCAAUGCCGCGUGAGUGAUGAAGGCCUUAGGGUUGUAAAGCUCUUUUACCCGGGAUGAUAAUGACAGUACCGGGAGAAUAAGCUCCGGCUAACUCCGUG